GUGCUCAAUUCAGCAGCACGUAUACUAAAAUUGGAAUGAUACAGAGAAGAUGACCACGGCCCCUGUACAAGGAUGACAUGCAAAUUCCUGAAGCAUUCCAUAUUUUU